AUCAUUCUUAGGAGUUAUCACAGCAUACAAAUAAGUCACCAUCGCCGGUGAUUGGUGGUCUCCCAUACUUGUGAGUUAACAUAAUCGCAAGAAUUUUUCAGCAAAAAAAAACAAAAAGAAAAUCAUCAAGAGGAUUUUUGGGUGAGAAAUACGAGGAAUGUGGAAAGAGUAUCAACAGUGGAGGAUGUAAGAAGCAUGGAGUAUUCUGUUUCCCUCAUCUCUACAUCUCUUUGGAUGAGAACUAUGAGGAAUGUGGAAAGAUUAUCAAGUGGUCUUCACAGCCAUCUCUCCACUCUCGAACAACUACAUUUUAUAGGUUAUUGGAACAUGCCAGAGGAUGGCUUCUUUCCCUCCGCCAAGUAUCCGACAUAAUUCAAUUUCAAAUUCUGAAAGAUUGAUGCUCAAAAUUGAGUGGCGACUAUGGGCACCUCAUCCAAGAAAUCCCACUCAUCAUAGUCGAUCGAGUUCGGAUCCAAUAAGAAGAUAUCUAUCCAAUUUCUAAUUUUGCUCUUCAGAAUAUCCCACUAUUAUCUUUAUUUGGCAAAAUUUCUCAGGAGGAUCAAAUGCAAACAGUGCCGAGGGAAAGGGGGAAAGGAGUAAUAAGGAAGACUAUGAUCUGUCCAAAUUCUGGAGAUAUUUCUAUGCGAGAUUUUGAAAGAUUGAUGCUCAAAACUCACUGGCGACUAUCGGCCCCUCAUCCAAGAGAUCCCUCUCAUCUACAUUGGUGUUCGGAUCCAGUGAACUAAAAUUGAUCAUACCCGAGCCCGGACAAAGGAUUUAUCUCCGUUGACAACUUUGCCUUCUUCAGGUCUGCCGCAAUUCGUUGUUCCACCUAAAGUCAGCUUUCUGGGAUUAGGGUCAGUUUUUGGGUUGGAAGGCAUCAAUUCAGUUCGAUACUUAAUACGGAUUGAUUUUUCCCGAGGAGAUGUUUCUCAUAGAAUUUCCAGAAACCAGCCACUAGAGGUCUAGUUUGCAUUGCGACACCCCUGCAGAUUUUUGGACGAGAAAUAUGGGGAAUAUGGAAAGACUAUCAACAGCAGAGGAUGUAUGAUGUAUGGAAUCUUUUUUUUUCCUUCCUCUCUAAUCUCUCUUUGGAUGAGAAAAUAUGAGUAGAAAGACUAUCAAGUGGUCUUCAUGGCCAUCCCCCAUCUCUCAAACAGUUAUAUUUUGUAAGUAGCUUGAAUUUUGGGUACUUGCCGGAGGAUGGCUUCCCUCCUCCCUCAAAGUAUUCCCCAUAAUUCAAUGUGAGAUUCUGAAGGAUGGAUCCUCUCUUUUCGGCAACUACUGGCACCUCAUCCAAGAAAUCCCACUGAUUGUGAUUGAUCUAGUUUGGAUCCAACAGGAAGAUUUCUCUCCACUGUCUUGAGUUUUGUUCUUCAGGAAAGGCGGAGAGGAGCGACCAGGGAGAUUAUGCUCUGUUGCUCUGUUGAGUCAUCAUGAAAGCCUCGCGUCUGCCACCAAGUAUUUUGAUCUAAAAUUGCGAGAAGAUCGUCAUCCAAAAC